GACGAACGCUGGCGGCGUGCUUAACACAUGCAAGUCGAACGGUAAGGCCCUUCGGGGUACACGAGUGGCGAACGGGUGAGUAACACGUGGGUGAUCUGCCCUGCACUUCGGGAUAAGCCUGGGAAACUGGGUCUAAUACCGGAUAGGACCACUGCCUGCAUGGGUGGUGGUGGAAAGCUUUUGCGGUGUGGGAUGGGCCCGCGGCCUAUCAGCUUGUUGGUGGGGGGAUGGCCUACCAAGGCGACGACGGGUAGCCGGCCUGAGAGGGUGACCGGCCACACUGUGACGGGGAUACGGCCCAGACUCCUACGGGAGGCAGCAGUGGGGAAUAUUGCACAAUGGGCGCAAGCCUGAUGCAGCGACGCCGCGUGAGGGAUGCCGGCCUUCGGGUUGUAAACCUCUUUCAGCACCGACGAAGCGCAAGUGACGGUAGGUGCAGAAGAAGGACCGGCCAACUACGUGCCAGCAGCCGCCGUAA
rnacentral:rRNA from 1 species